rnacentral:rRNA from 1 species
GACGAACGCUGGCGGCGUGCUUAACACAUGCAAGUCGAACGGUAAGGCCCUUCGGGGUGCACGAGUGGCGAACGGGUGAGUAACACGUGGGUGAUCUGCCCUGCACUUCGGGAUAAGCCUGGGAAACUGGGUCUAAUACCGGAUAGGACCACUGCCUGCAUGGGGGGCGGUGGAAAGCUUUUGCGGUGUGGGAUGGGCCCGCGGCCUAUCAGCUUGUUGGUGGGGUGAUGGCCUACCAAGGCGACGACGGGUAGCCGGCCUGAGAGGGUGACCGGCCACACUGGGACUGAGAUACGGCCCAGACUCCUACGGGAGGCAGCAGUGGGGAAUAUUGCACAAUGGGCGCAAGCCUGAUGCAGCGACGCCGCGUGAGGGAUGACGGCCUUCGGGUUGUAAACCUCUUUCAGCACCGACGAAGCGCAAGUGACGGUAGGUGCAGAAGAAGGACCGGCCAACUACGUGCCAGCAGCCGCGGUAA